UACGUAGGUCCCGAGCGUUGUCCGGAUUUAUUGGGCGUAAAGCGAGCGCAGGCGGUUAGAAAAGUCUGAAGUGAAAGGCAGUGGCUCAACCAUUGUAGGCUUUGGAAACUGUUUAACUUGAGUGUAGAAGGGGAGAGUGGAAUUCCAUGUGUAGCGGUGAAAUGCGUAGAUAUAUGGAGGAACACCGGUGGCGAAAGCGGCUCUCUGGUCUGUAACUGACGCUGAGGCUCGAAAGCGUGGGGAGCGAACAGG
rnacentral:rRNA from 1 species